AGAAAAAAAAUUGAACAGGAUAGGGACAACAGAAGUGAUGAAGAGAGCCAGGCACGGUGGUUCAGGCCUGUAAUCCCAGCACUUCAGGAGGCCGAGGCAGGUGGAUCACUUGAGGUCGGGAGUUCAAGACCAGCCUGGGCAACAUGGUGAAACCCCGUCUCUACUAAAAGGACAAAAAAAUUAGCCGGGCAUCAUGGUGCAUGCCUGUAAUCCCAGCUACUUGGGAGGCUGAGGCACAAGAAUCACUUGAACCCAGGCAGCAAGGUUGCAGGGAGCCAAGAUCACACCACUGCACCCCAGCCUGGGUGACACAGCAAGACUCCGUCUCAAUUAGAAAAGAAAAAAACCCAUGGAAUAUUGUUCCCAUGAGAACUUCCUUAGGAAUCUGCUGGAAAAUGAGGCUCAGACAACCAAAAUGACUAGGGAGAUAUUAACACAAGACUAGCGGUGAGCAUUAAGUAUGUCUUUAUUGUUUAUAUAAUGAAGAUUAAAAGGACAGUGUAGUAAGCAAUGACAGACAGGUAUUUAAAUAACUUACCUGACCAUUGGGAGGGAUGAAGAAACUUCAGAGCCACAUUGCAAUUAAAAAGCUGUCUAGCAAAAAAGAGAAAACUGCGGCUACAGUUGCAGGCUCUAUAACCCCACCAUUUCUGCUCUGAUCCAUACCAGAAAAUGGAUGCUUCAUGGACCGUCUCUCUCUCAAUUUAAGUCAAUUCCAAAUCCAAAUCUCACCGAUUAAUGGACAUUAAUUCCUAUCUGGAAUCCUAACUGUAAAGGAAUUGGAGAAAAUGCAGUAUUUAGCUUUUGAGUUUCACAAAUAUGGGAAGGCACACUAGAAGGAGGUGCAGUAGAGGUUGAGCAAGUCUAUCUACAAUUACCAAAAGGAACUUCCUUAGGGAGGAACAGACAUCUUCCAAAAACCUACUACAAAUUUGCUACUUGUCAGUGAAAUGUAAGGAUUUAACAUCAGUCACAAGAGAAGUCUGAUGUAUCUAUUAAACAUUAUACUGAAUGUUCUAAGUACAAUAAAAUAAGGAAGUAUAAACAUUGGAAAGAAACAAAUGAUUCAUUACUGUUACUAUUCAAAAGUGAUGUGACUGUCUACAUAGAAAAAUCUAAAAUAAUCUAUAGGCCCCAGAAUUAUUAAGAAAGUUUGGCAAGCCUUCUGAAUGUAAGAUAAAUAUACAGAAGUCAAUUACACUCCAAUGUAUCAGUAAUAGGAAAUUAGAAUAAAUUGGAUGCAGGGGCUCAUGCCUAUAAUCCCUGCUUUAUAAAAAAAUUUUAAGAGAUAUUAGAAUAAGUAAUUUUAAAAAUACCCCUUAGACACAAAUCUAGCAAAAGAUGUAUAAGAACACUAUUUUAAAAAUCAUAAAAUUUUCCAGCCUGGACAUGGUGAAACCCUAUCUCUACUAAAAAAUACAAAAAUUAGCAGGGCAUGGUGGCACAUGCCUGUAGUCCCAGCCACUCAGGAGGCUAAGGCACGAGAAUUGCUUGAAGCCAGGAGGUGGAAGUUGCAGCGAGCUGAG
rnacentral:lncRNA from 10 species